GAUGAACGCUGGCGGCGUGCCUAAUACAUGCAAGUCGAGCGAACAGAUGAGAAGCUUGCUUCUCUGAUGUUAGCGGCGGACGGGUGAGUAACACGUGGGUAACCUACCUAUAAGACUGGGAUAACUCCGGGAAACCGGGGCUAAUACCGGAUAAUAUUUUGAACCGCAUGGUUCAAUAGUGAAAGACGGUUUCGGCUGUCACUUAUAGAUGGACCCGCGCCGUAUUAGCUAGUUGGUAAGGUAACGGCUAACCAAGGCGACGAUAGGUAGCCGCCCUGAGAGGGUGAUCGGCCACACUGGAACUGAGACACGGUCCAGACUCCUACGGGAGGCAACAGUAGGGAAUCUUCCGCAGUGGGCGAAAGCCUGACGGAGCAACGCCGCGUGAGUGAUGAAGGUCUUCGGAUCGUAAAACUCUGUUGUUAGGGAAGAACAAAUUUGUUAGUAACUGAACAAGUCUUGACGGUACCUAACCAGAAAGCCACGGCUAACUACGUGCCAGCCGCCGCGGUAAGAC
rnacentral:rRNA from 1 species